rnacentral:rRNA from 1 species
UGAGGAAUAUUGGGGCAAUGGAGGGAACUCUGACCCAGCCAUGCCGCGUGAGUGAAGAAGGUUUUCGGAUUGUAAAGCUCUUUCGGGUGUGACGAUGAUGACGGUAACACCUAAAGAAGCCCCGGCUAACUUCGUGCCAGCAGCCGCGGUAAUACGAAGGGGGCAAGCGUUGUUCGGAAUUACUGGGCGUAAAGGGAGUGUAGGCGGUUUAGUAAGAUAGUGGUGAAAUGCCAGAGCUUAACUUUGGAAUUGCCAUUAUAACUAUUGAACUAGAAUUAUGGAGAGGAUAGCGGAAUACCCAGUGUAGAGGUGAAAUUCGUAGAUAUUGGGUAGAACACCAGUGGCGAAGGCGGCUAUCUGGCCAUAUAUUGACGCUGGAGGCUCGAAAGCAUGGGGAUCAAACAGGAUUAGAUACCC